CGCGCAGGACUUGUUUCUCUGAUUCGAGUAAAAGAUCUCCUUGAGGAAAUAGCUCGACGCGUUUUCUUUCUUUCUCCUUUCAGGAAGAACAUAAAAGACUAUAAGAGUCAACCAACAGAAAAUGGAGAAAAGAGCAUCCCCGCCCCCACACCUGCUCAGCAGCCAUCUUCACCUCCGUUAACUUCACAGCUUCAGGACCGUGAGGACCUUUUCUCUACACUUUUUUCUUCAGGUAGGACACUAUCUUGCACAUGGCUGCUCCAAAGAUGAAGUCCUUGAGGAUGCUGGGGAUGAGGGUGAAGGGCAUGCAGAAGAUGGCCAUCAUCAGGUCGCUCAUGGCGAGCGACAGCAGGAAGGUGUUAGUGACGGUGCGCAUUCGCUUGUUGACGGUUGCCCACUGCGUCUGCAUCCUGGGGAUUAACGGUCCCCAUGUGUGCCAGAUCUGCAGGACGCAAAUCACAUCAAAAGCUGCAGGUGAACGCAGACUCUCUGUUGAAGGCAUGUGCUCUGAGAUGUACCCCCAACAGCUCCUCAGAGCUGCAGAAAAUUGCAAUCACUCCAAACUUCAGCUACAUGCACACAGGAACUCUUCUAUCUCAGCCACUUAGAGACAUAUUCUCCACUGAGAGUUUUCUUUUUCUGUCUUUAGUUGUAAGAAAAGAGAACUGUCAUUUAAGAGUCAUCAAUCUAUUAAUGUCUAUUAAAAAACUCAAACUCUCGGUGCAAAUAUUUGCAAAGACAGACGUUCUUUGAAGUCUAUUUAUGGGAACUCAAAGAAAAUGAAGCUGUCAGGAGAGAUGUUUGCUAUUUUAACUUUCCUGUAAAGAGGUUGUCUGUCAAAAAAGAAAAAAAGACAAAGUGAGAAGAUUGCAGAGAACAGGAAAGGUGUUGUUACAAGUUCAUAUGAGGUUCUCAGGUCCAGCUGGAAGCAGGUGGGAAAUGGAAACUUGUCAAUGAGCUUCAAUCUUUUUGAGACCGGUUCCAGUUCAGUGUUAAAAACACGCAGAAGGAAACUUAAGUUAACUUUGUUCGGAUGGACACUUUCAUUUUGUUAUACUGUGGAAUGUUUCUAUCCGAGCACCCAGCUGUGUCUCAAAUCAUUUAUCGAAUAUUAGGACAGUGCAGGUCUGUCAGGGAAAAAACUUCUUAUUCUGUCUAAAAAUAAUAAAACUUCAAACUUUAAAAAAGUUCUUUUUUUA